rnacentral:tRNA from 1 species
CAUUAAGAAGCUUUCAUAUCAAGCAAUAGCCUUUUAAGUUGUAGAUCGGUGAUUUAGCCCACCCUUAAUGA